rnacentral:misc_RNA from 1 species
GAUGAAGAACGCAGCGAAAUGCGAUAAGUAAUGUGAAUUGCAGAAUUCAGUGAAUCAUCGAAUCUUUGAACGCACAUUGCGCCCGCCAGUAUUCUGGCGGGCAUGCCUGUCCGAGCGUCAUUUCAACCAUCAAGCCCCCGGGCUUGUGUUGGGGACCUGCGGCUGCCCGCAGGCCCUGAAAACCAGUGGCGGGCUCGCUGUCACACCGAGCGUAGUAGCAAUCACCUCGCUCAGGGCGUGCUGCGGGUUCCGGCCGUUAAACAGCCUUACAAAACCCAAGGUUGACCUCGGAUCAGGUAGGAAGACCCGCUGAACUUAAGCAUAUCAAUAAGCGGAGGA